GAGGCGGUAGCUCAGUGGUAGAGCGGCAGAUUGCAAUGGUGCCUGUUGCAAGGUAUCUGUAGGUCCCCAGUUCGAUCCUGGGUCAUCUCU